rnacentral:tRNA from 260 species
GGGGAUAUAGCUCAGCUGGGAGAGCGCCUGCCUUGCACGCAGGAGGUCAGCGGUUCGAUCCCGCUUAUCUCCACCA